CGGCUACAUCACGUUGAAACACCUGUUCCCGUACGAUCAACGAAGUCAAGCAAUGUCAAAUCUGGUCAGUACCUAGAUGGGUGACCUCUAGGAAAUACCAAGUGCUGUAA